GACGAACGCUGGCGGCGUGCUUAACACAUGCAAGUGGAGCGACGAACCAGGGCUUGCCCUGGGGCAGAGCCGCGAACGGGUGAGUAACACGUGGGUAACGUGCCCCGAUGACUGGGACAACCCGGGGAAACCCGGGCUAAUACCGGAUGUGCCCCCUCACAUCAGUGAGGUGUGUAAAGGAAGCUUCGGCCUCCGCAUCGGGAUCGGCCCGCGGCCCAUUAGCUUGUUGGUGAGGUAACGGCUCACCAAGGCUGCGAUGGGUAGCUGGUCUGAGAGGACGAUCAGCCACACUGGGACUGAGACACGGCCCAGACUCCUACGGGAGGCAGCAGUGGGGAAUCUUGCGCAAUGCGCGAAAGCGUGACGGAGCAACGCCGCGUGGGGGAAGACGGCCUUCGGGUUGUAAACCCCUUUCAGUUGGGACGAAGGUCGGGCGGUUAACAGCCGUUCCGGCUGACGGUACCUUCACAAGAAGCCCCGGCUAACUACGUG
rnacentral:rRNA from 1 species